UACACAAUGACUUGUUGACAUGUUGACUACACAAUGACUUGUUGACAUGUUGACUACACAAUGACUUGUUGACAUGUUGACUACACAAUGACUUGUUGACAUGUUGAAUACACAAUGACUUGUUGACAUGUUGACUACACAAUGACUUGUUGACAUGUUGACUACACAAUGACUUGUUGACAUGUUGACUACACAAUGACUUGUUGACAUGUUGACUACACAAUGACUUGUUGACAUGUUGAAUACACAAUGACUUGUUGACAUGUUGACUUCACAAUGACUUGUUGACAUGUUGACUACACAAUGACUUGUUGACAUGUUGACUACACAAUGACUUGUUGACAUGUUGACUACACAAUGACUUGUUGACAUGUUGACUACACAAUGACUUGUUGACAUCUACAGAUUCUUGGACAUCCUUUUAUCUCUCCAAAUCCCAUGUUGCACGGUUUAAGCAAAUAGCAUCACUUCAGAUAAGCUUGAUGCUGAAAAAGAUCAAGAAAGAAAUCAAAAUGGCUGUGAUGAUGGAGAUGAGUCUCCUGAUUUGAUGCCCAUUCCUUCGGCUAUACUGCGAGAAAUUCAAGAGUUCAGAAUGAAUUUGUGUUGUUGAAAAUGCUUGGAAAAAGGAGAGUUUGCUUAUCAAGGUACGUGAUAAAUUGGAAGGCUGUCUCUAUGCGAUCAAAAGAGUUUCUUUGAAUACGAAAAGUGUGCUAUUUAAUCGCAAAAUUACUCGAGAAGAGAAGUUACUUUCUAGAUUGAAUCAUGAAAAUAUUUCAAGGUAAAAGAAAUACUUGAAAAUGAAACUUCCCACCGUGAAACAAAAUGAAGCAUGACAGAGGAGAAAUAACGUCGCCUAAGGUUGAAGAAAGCUUGAUAAAAUUGAACGUAGUUCAAGCACAUAGCGUACGCUAAAGAGUUUUGGAUAAAGACUCGUGGACCAAUGAAAACACAAAUGAUUCCAAGCAUGUUAACGACGAUAAAAGCUCUAUCAAGGUUGAGGUUACAAUAAAAAAACAAAAUCUAUUAAUAACAACGAGUCUACUAAAGAUAUGUUCAAAAGAAAUAUCGAUGAAUCACAUAUACAGUUUGGAAGCUUGUUGGCUCAGGACGACGAAUCUGAUUUCGAAAGUGUACUCUGCAAACUUUCUAUAUACAGAUGGAGUAUUGUAAGAAGAGUACUCUAAGGAAUAUUAUUGACGAGAGAUAUUACAAGAACCAACAGAGAAUGUGGUGGCUUCUCCGUGAGAUUGUGGAAGGAUUAGUUCGCGUUCAUUUUCAGGUAAAAUUUUCCAUUGUAUCUAAACAUGAAAAAAGAUGUGAACAAUUUUCGUUUAGCUCAAUAAAUAUAUAUAAAGACUUAUUAUUUGCUAUUUUUCUCU